UACGGAGGGUGCGAGCGUUGUCCGGAAUCACUGGGCGUAAAGGGCUCGUAGGCGGCCAACUAAGUCAGACGUGAAAUCCCUCAGCUUAACUGGGGAACUGCGUCUGAUACUGGAUGGCUUGGAUUCGGGAGAGGAAUGCGGAAUUCCAGGUGUAGCGGUGAAAUGCGUAGAUAUCUGGAGGAACACCGGUGGCGAAGGCGGCAUUCUGGACCGACAUUGACGCUGAGGAGCGAAAGCCAGGGGAGCAAACGGG
rnacentral:rRNA from 1 species